AUUUGCGAUCAUACCAGCACUAAUGCACUGAAUCCCGUUAAAACUCCGCAGUUAACCGUGUUUAAACGAAAGUUGUAUUAGGAUGGGUGAUCUCCUAAUUUUAAUUUAAGCUUUUGGUUCUU
rfam:Arabis alpina cultivar Pajares Aa.chr7_contig_1280, whole genome shotgun sequence.